ACUAACCAAUCACCUCCUGUCAUUUUUAUCACCUGUGUUUGAAAAAUGACAGGAGCUGAUUGGUUGGUACUAUAUCUCCCGCCACUUUAUAUCUCCCCAAUGUUUGACACAUCUCCCUCAGAUUGCUCAGGGGUAGCAGGAUUUAUUGAGAGGGUGAAGUGCUGUAAAUUAUCAAUCUGCCUGACAAGUCACUUAUAGUGACAUAUUAUUGUAGAAUAUUGAAUAGAAAUAUCAGAAUCCUUUGAUCUCAGCUAAUAUGUGCCUGUUCCUUAUUUAGGCUGUUGCGUUAACACAAAUAUCACAAUCAGUGUAAUGGAAGAAGGGGACAUGGAUUACCCCUGGGAGAUCUCAACAACGUUCAUGUCCUUGUUUGUCCUGAGCCUGGUCUAUAGCAUCACUGUAACUCUGUUUAAGGUAAAAUAAGAUCCACAAUCUUCUUCGGUCUCUGUCCAGCAACAGACAGAACAGGACAAUCAUACUAUGAAUAUAAAUGACUGAAUGCCUGUAAUAUGUGAAAACUGUUGAAUAAUGAUCUCAUCACCUUUUUUACCAUGUAAAUAACAAAGUUAUAAAUCUAGUAAAUGCGAUUACGGCUUUCUCGAAUAAAAGUAUAUUUCUGAUUG